CUGGGCUCAGAGUAGCUUCUAAAAAACUUUACCAGAACAAGAAGACCUUCAAGUUUCAGUCCAACUUUUUGUUUCUUUAAAAAAACUAUUCUUUUUUCAAGUCAUUUUUGGAGAGUUUAGCCGCUCUAAGCAGCUGCAGAGUUUGAUUGAUUAGUUUGAUUUAUUGGUUUAUUUCAAGCAUAGAUUAUGAAAAAUACAGGACAGUUUGAUGUACAGCUGGUGACAAAGAUACUUAGUUGAGUGGUGUAAAAAGACAACAAAACUAUUUAAAUAAAGGAUCAAUUUGCUAAAUUUAAGUCUGUAAAAUUAAAGUCUUUUAUUUUGAAAUGUGCCAGCCACUUAUCAAGAAUAUGAAAGCUGAGGCGUCUGCACAAUGUGUUCAAAAUGCAGUCACAAAUUAUUCAAUAAAAGGUUUCUUAGCUAGAGUACAUACAUAGAAGAAAAAUCAAUAAAAUUGUUCAGAAAUGAAGGUUUUGGCAUUUAAAUAGUUUACAAGUAAUUAAAAUAAUAACAAUAAAUCUUACAGUGUGAAUUAAUUCAUCAUAAAAUGUUGCUUUGGAAUUUCAAACAGAUGAGAAAUGAGUGUAGUUUUAUUGAAAAACUUUUUUUUUUUUUAAUCUUUUGUUAAAAUGUUUCACUGAAGUCAGCAGGUGGAAAUAACAGAGUGAGACCAGCUCUCUAAUAACAUCCAAGUGUGGCUGCAAGUGUCUCAUCAGAGGAGGUGUGAGCUGUGUCUUAUUAAAUAUGGAGGUGUGCUCUCAGUCCCUGCUGUGGGGGUCCACACCUGUUCAGGUAGCUACGUUUUUGUUUCACUUUCUUCACAGAUGUGUGUUCGUGUGCUCGCUCAAGUGAGAGGACUAAUUAUACUCUUGACAGAACAAUGAAACACUGUCAGCAAACAGCAUCAGUUUGACUUCAUCAUUGCGAUGGCUUUGAUUUUAAAUGCUAUUUGAAAGUGAAAACUACACUUUUACCCAUCUGUGAAAUGUAAAAUUAUGAUUUUAAUGAGUGAUAUGCUUUUUUUGUGAAAUUUAAUGGAAUUUUCCUGGAAAUUAGCUAGUUCUUCUUAUUGUGCCUCGAUUUUUAUCUUAAAAAACUUUUAGUGUGAACUGAAACACACUUCAAGGAAACAAGUAUUUCUUAAAAUGUUCUAUAGCUGUUGAUCAUAAACCUUUAUUUAACCAGGGUGGGUCACAUUGAGAUCUAAAACAUCAUUUUCAAGGGAGCCCUGGGUCCCUUGAAACCUUAGGUAAAACUUUCAUAUUAUUUUUAUCAUCUUCUUGAAGCGUUUAGAGUAUCUUUAUUUAAAUCGGGAGCAGAUAAAAACCCGUCAAAAAACCCACAUCUACUUAUAGACAUUUAGAUCCAUUAAGAUCUUCGCUUUUCCUCGUCUGAGCUUCUUUUCUUUGCCACGCUAAGAUUAGUUUUGGUUUGUGAGAAGCUGUAAGCAAGCAGGAGAGAGUGUCAGCAAAGAUAUGCUGGGAUAUUAGUGUAGGGUUACUUCCGCACAAAUUUCAGAAGAACUCCAGCCGCUCUGCAGAAAAUUGGUCUUUUUUUUUUAAAAAAAAAAAAAAAAAAAAAAAACUGGCUUUUUUUUCCCCAAAAAAAUUGCUUAUUCAAAAUGUAAUGAUUUUACAGUGGGGAAAAAAAUGUAUUUGGAGCAAAAAAUUCAAGAUGGUGCCUCCAUUUUAGUGAUUUCUUAGUCUGUUAGUAUUAGGAGGUCCCAGACAGGAUGAGGAAGACAGCAGUUUUACAUCUGAUGAUAAAAGCAACCAUUCCACUGAAUGACCAGCAGAUGGCAGCAUUGCACCAAACCUUGUCAUCCAGUGUCUUCGUGAAAAAAGGUGUUUCAGAACCCCCUGAAGGAUUGAGUUCCUGUUUGUUCCACCUAUUAAAGGUAGCAGCUUCAUGAUGCCAUACUGGCCAUAUGGCAAGCACUACAUCUUGGAAAACUAUAGUUUUAAUGACACCAAUACAAAACCAACUCUUCCCAAGGUGAGUCCACACAUUUGACAUUUGAAGUGAUCAUGUGAUGUGCCAAGAAUGACUAUUCAUAAGAAAAUUUUAAAAACGUAUUUUUAGGUAGAAACAUGACAAAGAUGGUUGCCAUGGUUUUUCUCUCUUCAUGGAGGUCAACAGUUUAAAUUAAAGUGCGCUUUCAGCGUACAGUCUGCAUAUCUUUUCAUUUCUUUCCUCCUCAGUUUUGCUUCUGACAAAGCUCUUUUUUGUUUAAAACCAUCUGGUAGAUGAAACUCACUCAGUUUUUUUUUUUUUUUUAACCCGAGUUGAUCCAUAUAGGAGUUAAGGCAUGAAUAAUCAAGCGGCUGCAUGCAACAUUAAAAAUGUAACGCAGCGUGUUUGGGUUUCCAUCUGCGCUCAUUCCCUCAGAUUAGGCAGUUUGUGGGCUGACAGAGUGGUGUCUGCAAACAGGAAAGGUGGAACAGUUGAAGUAACACACGUUUAGCUCCUGAUGAGUUUGACGCCCUUUCAGUGUCAUCACCCUCGUUCCAUGGUGAAACACUACAGCUUAUUAGUGAAGUGGAAAGCAGGCGUUAGGCCACUGGAAGUUUUCCUCCUGCCUUCAUUCUUCAGAAAUAGGAGGUUCUGUCCUUUGGUGUGGUGCAGGGAGAAAGCAUGCAUGCUGGCAGGAGCACUCCCACACAGACCCACACACACAUGCAGGUCUCAGGAGGGAAGCCACCGAUCAUCACACGGCACAACCCACUGAUGCCUGGGUAAACCUGCUCCCUCCAUGUCUACCUGGCCGGGUUUCUGUGUGUGUUUUUCAUUCUGGAAGUCUGGCUCUGUCUCAGAGCACCCUUCAUGUGUGCGUGUGUGUGUCGCUUUGCAGGAAACUGAGAUUUCUACUUUGCUUUUUUUUUCUAAAUCAGAAGAUUUCGCUCCAGUGUAAAAAGCUAAAUAGUUUUACAAAUCAAUAGUAACCUUUUUUUGUCCAAUUUUAAGCCAAUCAAACACACUAAGUUGUUUAUUCAAAUUUAAAAGUUUAAUAAAAUGUGCUUCCAUUCUGGAUACUUGUGGAAUUUCUGAGCACCAUCUCGUCUGCAUCCAGGUCCCCCUCAAAAAUGUUGAUGAAAAACAAGACUCAACCUUGUUUCCUGACCAUUGGGUUUGAAUAGAUGGCACCACAGACUGCUCCAUCUCAACUCAAUUUACUGGCCAUUAGUAAUUCACCUCAACAUCCAGCAAGGAGCUCUCUAAAAAGAAACUACACACUUUCUAUGAAAGAAGCCUUUUGAAGAAGAUCCACAAGCUCUUUGCUCUGAACUCUCGGCAAUGGGGGGAGGAAAGGGGGCGGCGUUACCCAGUGUCAACAGUCCCGCCCACAUCUCAGGGAUGAAUUUCUAAUGAACUACUGCUGCUGUGCAAAGACUGUCCUAGAAAACGACAGUUUUUUUUUUUGUUUGCCUAAAAAGUGGUAUAUUCAUAAUUAAAAGACCACAAGGAAUGCAUUGAAAAUAGAUGAAAAGCUGACCAGUGUGGGACUUUUUCAGAUAAUAUGUCAGCAAUCAAAAGCCAUAAUCUCACUUUGUGCUGGUUGUUGGUUUAGCUUUAACUGUCUUUACCACACUUAAAUAAAGUGAGCAGAAUAAAGACAUGCAAUUAGAUGGACAGAUAGUAGAAUCAAAGCUGUUUAAUCCAUGAUUGUUCUUUAAUCUCUGCGGAUGGGAAACACACGGACUCCUCCACACAGUCACAGCCAGCCGCUGCCUGUCUGCAGCUAAACUAAAGUGAGACCAGUGUCAGCCUCAGAAACAUUGAGCUUUGUUCUAUCUGUGUGGUUGUGACAGCUAAAUAUCUCCACAGACGACCAUGUUCCCGGGAAAACUGAGAAUCUGGGAUUUAAGCGUGUUACUGAGAGGGAGACAGAUGGAAUCUAUGCCCCUUGUCUUCUGCGUCUGCAUCACAGAUGAGUCCUUUUGGCCCGUCAGUCUCUUUUAGGCGCCAAGGGAAGCCCCUAAGAGAGUCAAAAAGCAUAAGUGAAAGCAAAAAAUCAUCCCAGGAAUUAGGAAGAGACAGGCAGAAAGAUAAAGACAAGGAAGAGGAAAAAAUGUCGAAGCCAGUAGAGAAAGGGGUUAACAGACAUCAAGAUCAUGAGAUGCUGGCAGGUACACUGAAAAAAGGGGAAAAGUGGGGUUGUUCAAUUUACAAGUAUUAAACAUGUGUCUAAAACAUGAUCAAGUC